ACCUUCUGUGGUGUAGUUGGUAGCGCUUUUACUUAACAAUUAUAAGUCCUAGGUUCAACUCCCGGUCAGGGUA